CCUACGGGCGGCAGCAGUGAGGAAUAUUGGUCAAUGGACGAGAGUCUGAACCAGCCAAGUAGCGUGAAGGAUGACUGCCCUAUGGGUUGUAAACUUCUUUUAUAUGGGAAUAAAAUGUUCCACGUGUGGGAUUUUGUAUGUACCAUAUGAAUAAGGAUCGGCUAACUCCGUGCCAGCAGCCGCGGUAAUACGGAGGAUCCGAGCGUUAUCCGGAUUUAUUGGGUUUAAAGGGAGCGUAGGUGGAUUGUUAAGUCAGUUGUGAAAGUUUGCGGUUCAACCGUAAAAUUGCAGUUGAGACUGGCAGUCUUGAGUACAGUAGAGGUGGGCGGAAUUCGUGGUGUAGCGGUGAAAUGCUUAGAUAUCACGAAGAACUCCGAUUGCGAAGGCAGUUCACUGGACUGCAACUGACACUGAGGCUCGAAAGUGUGGGUAUCAAACAGGAUUAGAUACCCCGGUAGUC
rnacentral:rRNA from 1 species